CCCUACGGGAGGCAGCAGUGAGGAAUAUUGGUCAAUGGGCGUAAGCCUGAACCAGCCAAGUCGCGUGAGGGACGACGGCCCUACGGGUUGUAAACCUCUUUUGCCGGGGGACAAACGGCGGCACGCGUGCCGUCCUGAGGGUACCCGGAGAAAAAGCAUCGGCUAACUCCGUGCCAGCAGCCGCGGUAAUACGGAGGGUGCGAGCGUUAAUCGGAAUUACUGGGCGUAAAGCGCUCGUAGGCGGUAUGUCAAGUCAAGGGUGAAAUCCCCGCGCUCAACGUGGGAACUGCCUUUGAAACUGGCAA
rnacentral:rRNA from 1 species